CAUUUUUCACUCCCUCUCGGAUCUAUUCCAAUCCAAUCCCUUCUCUUUCAUUUCAUUCUUCCCUUCAUCUUUCACUUCUCUACUCAACCUCUAUUUCUAUCUCAUUCCAUCCUUCAAUACCUGAUCUGCUCUUUUUCCUUUAUUCUUUCAUUUUCAAUCUCCUCUCCUUUGCUGCUUACGUUUUUUUCUCAAUCCUUUGACGAUCUUCUUCCACGACUCUCUCUCUCUCUCUCUUGUUUCGACUCUCCAAAAACAAGUGUGGUUGAUUUAUGAAUUUGCUUUUUCAAAUUUUACAGGUGUCGUGGUUUUGGUUUUAGGGCAAAAUCCAUAUGAUUUACAAAUUCAUAUUCUAAGAUACAUAAUUGACUUCUGUUUCUUCUUCUUGAAGAUUGUCUGUUCUGUAGGGAGGAUUUGAUAGUUGAAAAUGGGAAGCAAAGCACCAAGCUGGGCUGAUCAGUGGGGUUCAGGAAAUUACGGAGUGGAAGACGACGACAACAACAAUGCGGUCACAAAGAAAGGGAGCAGCAAUGGGAAUAGUAGCAAGAAGAUGGCAGAGGUAAAGGCAGCAGCCUCAGCAGGAUUUGUGAAGGCAAAGGCUGUUGCAACUGUGGGUGCUCAAAAAGUGAAAUCUGGAACUUCGGUAGGCAUCAAAUGGGUCAAGAAUCAGUACCAGAAAAAGGUCUCCAAAUGACUCUAAUAUGUUUAGGCCUUCAUUUGGGUUUUUUUCUUUUCAUUCUUGGUCUUAAAUAUAGCUCUGUAGUCUUAAAACUUUUGUAGUCCUUUUUAGUUUCCUGCAUUUUGUCGAACUCCUUUCCAUAAACUUCAAACGACAAAUGAGAUAUCAUAUCACAAAUUGCUAUAA